CCCUUAGAUGUCCUGGGCCGCACGCGCGUUACACUGAUGCAUUCAACGAGCUUAUAACCUUGGCCGAGAGGCCUGGGCAAUCUUGUUAACGUGCAUCGUGAUAGGGAUAGAUUAUUGAAAUUAUUUAUCUUGAACGAGGAAUUCCUAGUAAACGCAGAUCAUCAAUCUGCAUUGAUUACGUCCCUGCCCUUUGUACACACCGCCCGUCGCACCUACCGAUUGGAUGGUCCGGUGAAGCCUCGGGAUUGUGGUUCUUGCCGCUUUAUUGUGGCGUGACCGCGAGAACUUGUCUAAACCUUAUCAUCUAGAGGAAGGUGAAGUCGUAACA
rnacentral:rRNA from 1 species